AUUCAGUUGAUGAGUCCCAAAAUAGGACGAAACGCGUGUCUCAGAU
rnacentral:hammerhead_ribozyme from 1 species